rnacentral:rRNA from 1 species
CAGUCGCCAAGGUAAGACAGAGGAUGCAAGCGUUAUCCGGAAUGAUUGGGCGUAAAGCGUCUGUAGGUGGCUUUUCAAGUCCGCCGUCAAAUCCCAGGGCUCAACCCUGGACAGGCGGUGGAAACUACCAAGCUGGAGUACGGUAGGGGCAGAGGGAAUUUCCAGUGGAGCGGUGAAAUGCGUUGAGAUCGAAAAGAACACCAACAGCGAAAGCACUCUGCUGGGACGACACUGACACUAAGAGACGAAAGCUAGGGGAGCAAAUGGGAUUAGAUACCCCCGUAGUCCCUGUCUCUUAUAC